rnacentral:tRNA from 1 species
UAUAUUUAAGUGUUAUGGUGCACGGGAAUUUUUGAUUUUUCAAGGUAUGGUUUAAUUCCAUAAAAUAUAA